rnacentral:tRNA from 1 species
GGUUUGUAGCUCAGUGGUAGAGCGCUUGCCUAGCACAAGUGAGUCCCAGGGUUUGAGCCUCAGCACCA